rnacentral:rRNA from 1 species
GCAUAUCAAUAAGCGGAGGAAAAGAAACUAACAAGGAUUCCCCUAGUAACUGCGAGUGAAGCGGGAAAAGCUCAAAUUUAAAAUCUGGCGGUCUUUGGUCGUCCGAGUUGUAGUCUGGAGAAGUGCUUUCCGCGCUGGACCGUGUAUAAGUCUCUUGGAACAGAGCGUCAUAGAGGGUGAGAAUCCCGUCUUUGACACGGACUACCAGUGCUUUGUGAUGCGCUCUCAAAGAGUCGAGUUGUUUGGGAAUGCAGCUCAAAAUGGGUGGUGAAUUCCAUCUAAAGCUAAAUAUUGGCGAGAGACCGAUAGCGAACAAGUACCGUGAGGGAAAGAUGAAAAGCACUUUGGAAAGAGAGUUAAACAGUACGUGAAAUUGCUGAAAGGGAAACGCUUGAAGUCAGUCGCGUUGUCUGGGACUCAGCCUCGCUUUUGCUUGGUGCACUUUCCGGAUGACGGGCCAGCAUCGAUUUUGACCGUCGGAAAAGGGCUAGGGUAAUGUGGCACCUCCGGGUGUGUUAUAGACUUUAGUCGCAUACGGCGGUCGGGAUCGAGGAACGCAGCGCGCCGUAAGGCAGGGGUUCGCCCACUUUCGCGCUUAGGGUGCUGGCGUAAUGGCUUUAAACGACCCGUCUUGAAACACGGACC